AUCACUUCUCGGCCUUUUGGCUAAGAUCAAGUGUAGUAAAAAAAAAAAAAAAAAAAAAAAAAAAAGCAACUUGGAGGGUCUCUGGAUGGCUCAGUGGGUUAAGCAUCCAAUUUUUGGUUUUGGCUCAGGUCAUGAUAUCAGGGUUGUGACACUGAGCCCUGUGUCAGGCUCCACACUCA
rnacentral:snRNA from 2 species